rnacentral:rRNA from 1 species
CCUACGGGAGGCAGCAGUGGGGAAUAUUGGACAAUGGGCGAAAGCCUGAUCCAGCCAUGCCGCGUGUGUGAAGAAGGCCUUCGGAUUGUAAAGCACUUUCAGUGGGGAAGAAAGCCUUGGGGCUAAUACCCUCGAGGAAGGACAUCACCCACAGAAGAAGCACCGGCUAACUCCGUGCCAGCAGCCGCGGUAAUACGGAGGGUGCGAGCGUUAAUCGGAAUUACUGGGCGUAAAGCGCGCGUAGGCGGUCUGAUAAGCCGGUUGUGAAAGCCCCGGGCUCAACCUGGGAACGGCAUCCGGAACUGUCAGGCUAGAGUGCAGGAGAGGAAGGUAGAAUUCCCGGUGUAGCGGUGAAAUGCGUAGAGAUCGGGAGGAAUACCAGUGGCGAAGGCGGCCUUCUGGACUGACACUGACGCUGAGGUGCGAAAGCGUGGGUAGCAAACAGGAUUAGAUACCUGGUAGUC